AAAAAAUUUGCUAUUUCACAAUAUUGUGCAAUUAGAUAUUUCUUGCCAUUGCGCAAUACUGUGCAAUUGAAAAGACUUGCUAUUGCACAAUACUUAAUAUAAUAAUUUUGGAUCCUGAUUUGGACCAACUUGAAAACUGGGCCCAUAAUAAAAAAUCUAAGUACAUUUUUGGAUUCAGCAUUUCAAAGAACCCAAGAUUUCAAUUUUUGUUAAAAUCAGACUAAGUUUAAUUUUGGACCCUUUGGACUUUAGUGUAGACCAAUUUGAAAACAGGACCAAAAAUGAAGAAUCUACAUACACAGUUAGAUUUGGUAUAUCAAAGAACCCCAUUUAUUCAAUUUUUGAUGAAAUCAAACAAAGUUUAAUUUUGGACCCCGAUUUGGACCAACUUGAAAACUGGGCCAAUAAUCAAGAAUCUAAGUACAUUUUUAGAUUCAGCAUAUCAAAGAACCUAACUGAUUCAUUUUUUGUCAAAAUCAAACUAAGUUUAAUUUUGGACCCUUUGGACCUUAAUGUAGACCAAUUUGAAAACCGGACCAAAGGUUAAGAAUCUACAUACACAGUCAUGACAGUUAGAUUCGGCAUAUCAAAGAACCCCAAUUAUUCAAUUUUGAUGAAAUCAAACAAAGUUUAAUUUUGGACCCUUUGGGCCCCUUAUUCUGUUGGGACCAAAACUCUUAAAAUCAAUACCAACCUUCCUUUUAUGGUCAUAAACCUUGUGUUUAAAUUUCAUAGAUUUCUAUUUACUUAUACUAACGUUAUGGUGCGAAAACCAAGAAAAAUGCUUAUUUGGGUCCCUUUUUGGCCCCUAAUUCCUAAACUGUUGGGACCUAAACUCCCAAAAUCAAUACCAACCUUCCUUUUGUAGUCAUUAACAUUGUAUUUAAAUUUCAUUGAUUUCUAUUUACUUAAACUAAAGUUAUUGUGCGAAAACCAAGAAUAAUGCUUAUUGGGCCCUUUUUUGGCCCCUAAUUCCUAAACUGUUGAAACCAAAACUCCCAAAAUCAAUCCCAACCGUUCUUUUGUGGUCAUAAACCUUGUGUCAAAAUUUCAUAGAUUUCUAUUAACUUAAACUAAAGUUAUAGUGCGAAAACCAAGAAAAUGCUUAUUUGGGCCCUUUUUGGCCCCUAAUUCUAAAAUGUUGGGACCAAAACUCCCAAAAUCAAUACCAACCUUCCUUUUGUGGUCAUAAACCUUGUGUUAAAAUUUCAUAGAUUUCCAUUCACUUUUACUAAAGUUAGAGUGCGAAAACUAAAAGUAUUCGGACGCAGGACGACGACGACGACGCAGACGCCAACGUGAUAGCAAUAUACGACGAAAAAUUUUUCAAAUUUUGCGGUCGUAUAAAAACUAUGUCCAUUGGACAUG
rnacentral:lncRNA from 1 species